CCUANGGGAGGCAGCAGCUAAGAAUCUUCCGCAAUGGGGGAAACCCUGACGGAGCGACGCCGCGUGGAUGAUGAAGGCCGUAAGGUUGUAAAAUCCUUUUGUCGGUGAAGAAUAAGGGAGGGAGUGGAAAGCCCUUCUGAUGACGUUAGCCGAUGAAUAAGCCCCGGCUAAUUACGUGCCAGCAGCCGCGGUAAUACGUAUGGGGCAAGCGUUGUUCGGAUUUAUUGGGCGUAAAGGGCGUGUAGGCGGCUCAUCAAGUCUGGUGUGAAAUCGAUAGGCUUAACCUGUCAUAUGCGCUGGAAACUGGUGGGCUUGAGUUCUUGAGGGGAAGCUGGAAUUCCAGGUGUAGGGGUGAAAUCUGUAGAUAUCUGGAAGAACACCGGUGGCGAAGGCGAGCUUCUAUCAGAGGACUGACGCUGAGGCGCGAAAGCGUGGGGAGCAAACAGGAUUAGAUACCCCGNUANUC
rnacentral:rRNA from 1 species